rnacentral:rRNA from 1 species
UACGGAAGGCAGCAGGGGGAAUAUUGCACAAUGGGCGAAAGCCUGAUGCAGCUAUGCCGCGUGUAUGAAGAAGGCCUUAGGGUUGUAAAGUACUUUCAUCGGGGAGGAAAAAACAAAACUAAUAAUUUUAUUUCUUGACGUUACCCGAAAAAGAAGCACCGGCUAACUCCGUGCCAGCAGCCGCGGUAAUACGGAGGGUGCUAGCGUUAAUCAGAAUUACUGGGCGUAAAGAGCACGUAGGUGGUUUUUUUAAGUUCAGAUGUGAAAUCCCUGGGCUUUAACCUAGGAACUGCAUUUUGAAACUGAAAUACUAGAGUAUCGUAGAGGGAGGUAGAAUUCUAGGUGUAGCGGUGAAAUGCGUAGAUAUCUGGAGGAAUACCUGUGGCGAAAGCGGCCUCCUAAACGAAUACUGACACUGAGGGUGCGAAAGCGUGGGGAGCAAACAGGGAUUAGAUACC